AAGUAGCUAGAGAGUAUAAAAUAAAUUUCCUACGCAAUAGAUAAGGGAACCUGACUUAAACAGCGGUGUUGAAAGCCUGUCUUGAAUAGGAAUCCUAAAGUUGUUUAAAGGUGCCCACCUGUACAAAACAGGGAUAAUCUAUAACGCUCUCUAGCUUUUUU
rnacentral:other from 1 species